UCCAAUCGAACUCGGAGAUAGCUGGUUCUCCUCGAAAUAGCUUUAGGGCUAGCCUUGAUGUAAAGAUAUAUGGGGGUAGAGCACUGAAGGUGCUAGGGGCCUAAACCAGGUUACUGAACACUAUCAAACUCCGAAUACCAUAUAUUAGUAGUCAGGAGUCAGACUGCGGGAGCUAAGUUCCGUGGUCAAAAGGGAAAGAGCCCAGAUCGUCAAUUAAGGUCCCAAAGAUAUAGCUAAGUGGGAAACGAUGUGAAAUUGCGUAAACAACCAGGAUGUUGGCUUAGAAGCAGCCAUACAUUUAAAGAGUGCGUAAUAGCUCACUGGUCGAGUGAAUUUGCGCGGAAAAUUACCGGGGCUAAGCUAUACACCGAAAUUGCGGGUUAUGAUGUAUCUAAUAAUGUGUAUCAUAAUAAGAAGAUAAAUUUUCUGUUAAAAACAUGAAAUGUUUUUAACCAAAAUGUUCAAAAGGAUAAGGUAUACAAGAAAAGGUGCAUAUUAUUAGAUACAUUGUAGCGGUAGAGGAGCAUUCUGUAGUAGGGUGAAGUAUGAUCGAAAGGACAUAUGGACGAGGCAGAAGAGAGAAUGCUGGAAUAAGUAGCGAGAGCAAAGUGAGAAUCUUUGCCGUCGAAAGUCUAAGGUUUCCUGGGGAAGGUUCGUCCGCCCAGGGUAAGUCGGGACCUAAGGUGAGGCCAAGGAGGCGUAGCCGAUGGAUAGCAGGUAUAAAAUUCCUGCACUACCGAAAUACUUAAAAACGAUAAGGGACGCAGGAGAGGAAGGAAAUCCGGGAAGAGGAAAAACCGGAGCCGAAAGGCAUAGUGAAAAUUUAAAGUAACGAAGUUCCAAGAAUCACACUGACGAGAAAAGCUUAUUGACAUUGUAUUAAGGUACCCGUACCGCAAACCGACACAGGUAGAUGAGGAGAGGAUCCUAAGACGAGCGAGAGAAGUACUGUUAAGGAACUCGGCAAACUAACCCCGUAACUUAGGGAGAAGGGGUACCUAUGUAAAAGUAGGUCGCAGAGAAGAGUCCCAAGCAACUGUUUAACAAAAACACAGGUUUCUGCUAAAUCGAAAGAUGAAGUAUAGGAGCUGACGCCUGCCCAGUGCUGGAAGGUUAAGGGGAAAUGUUAGAGUAAUCGAAGCAUAGAACUAAAGCCCCAGUGAACGGCGGCCGUAACUAUAACGGUCCUAAGGUAGCGAAAUUCCUUGUCAGGUAAGUUCUGACCCGCACGAAAGGCGUAAUGAUUUGGGAGCUGUCUCGACAGUAUACUCGGCGAAAUUGUAGUACUAGUGAAGAUGCUAGUUACCUGCGACAAGACAGAAAGACCCCAUGGAGCUUUACUGUAGCUUGAUAUUGGGUUUCGGUAAUUUAUGUACAGGAUAGGUGGGAGACUAUGAAGCAAGAGCGUCAGCUUUUGUGGAGUCACCCUUGGGAUACCACCCUUAAAUUAUUGGAAUUCUAACCUGUGAUCAUGAACUGGUCAGGGGACAAUGUCAGGCGGGCAGUUUGACUGGGGCGGUCGCCUCCUAAAGAGUAACGGAGGCGCCCAAAGGUUUCCUCAACCCGGACAGAAAUCGGGUGAAAGAGUGCAAAGGCAGAAGGAAGCUUAACUGAAAGACAGACAUGUCGAGCAGAUACGAAAGUAGGGCUUAGUGAUCCGGUGGUAUGUGAGUGGAAAUGCCAUCGCUCAACGGACAAAAGUUACCCUGGGGAUAACAGGCUUAUCUCUCCCAAGAGUUCACAUCGACGGGGAGGUUUGGCACCUCGAUGUCGGCUCAUCGCAUCCUGGAGCGGAAGUACGUUCCAAGGGUUGGGCUGUUCGCCCAUUAAAGCGGUACGCGAGCUGGGUUCAGAACGUCGUGAGACAGUUCGGUCCUUAUCUGUCGCAGGCGCAGGAUAUUUGAAGGGAGUUGUCCUUAGUACGAGAGGACCAGGAUGAACAUACCGAUGGUGCAACAGUUGUCACACCAGUGGCAUAGCUGUGUAGCUAAGUAUGGAAGGGAUAAACGCUGAAAGCAUCUAAGUGUGAAGCCCACCCUAAGAUAAGAUAUCCCACAACGUUAAGUUGGUAAGAUACCAGGAAGACUAACUGGUUGAUAGGUUGGAGGUGUAAGUGCAGUAAUGCAUUAAGCUGACCAAUACUAAUAUAUCGAGGGCUUAACCAU
rnacentral:rRNA from 1 species